rnacentral:rRNA from 1 species
GAUGAACGCUGGCGGCGUGCCUAAUACAUGCAAGUCGAGCGAAUGGAUUAAGAGCUUGCUCUUAUGAAGUUAGCGGCGGACGGGUGAGUAACACGUGGGUAACCUGCCCAUAAGACUGGGAUAACUCCGGGAAACCGGGGCUAAUACCGGAUAACAUUUUGAACCGCAUGGUUCGAAAUUGAAAGGCGGCUUCGGCUGUCACUUAUGGAUGGACCCGCGUCGCAUUAGCUAGUUGGUGAGGUAACGGCUCACCAAGGCAACGAUGCGUAGCCGACCUGAGAGGGUGAUCGGCCACACUGGGACUGAGACACGGCCCAGACUCCUACGGGAGGCAGCAGGAGGGAAUCUUCCGCAAUGGACGAAAGUCUGACGGAGAAACGCCGCGGGAGGGAGGAAGGCUGUCGGGUCGUAAAACUCGGUUGUUAGGGAAGAACAAGUGCUAGUUGAAUAAGCUGGCACCUUGACGGUACCUAACCAGAAAGCCACGGCUAACUACGUG